UCCAGUGACGAUAGCUGUGGGGGUUCCACCUGUUCCCAUCCCGAACACAGUAGUUAAGCCCAUAAACGCCGAAGGUACUUGGCUGGAAACGGCCUGGGAGAUUAGGAAGUUGCUGGUU
rfam:Sporomusa sphaeroides DSM 2875 SPSPH_contig000001, whole genome shotgun sequence.